rnacentral:sRNA from 1 species
CAGACACAGCUUAGACAGCUUGUGUCCUCAGCACAACCAUCAUACUGAAUGUGCCCUGGAGAAAACAGACCUGGAGUCAGUUGAGAGGACAUUGAGCUGUUCAGGCUGGGCCCCCCAUCUUAGACUACGUUCUGCCACUCCUAAGCAGCUGUGAGCAUUCCUCAAGCCUUUCACCCUGAGGAUGGAAUGUAGUCUAGGACCUCUCCAUUUCGUCUGCCCAAGUGAGCUGGGGACCGAACCCAGGGCCUUGCGCUUCCUAGGUCAUAUGGGAUGCCGUCUUGGACUUUUAACUGCAAUGAAUAAAGCAGAUUCAGUCAGGUCUAUGGUAAUGAAGGUAUGGACACUCCAUAAGGGAUAGUGGAAUGGAGUGAGGAGACCUCACUUUGAAAUAUAGCCAUUUCUCCUUCUCCCUAGGCUGCAUUUGAUUUAGGGAGAUGUCUAAGUAUAUAGGAGGUGAGAGCCCCCAAGGGUCCAGGCUAACAAUGGGCCUUUACAUCUGCUGACUCUUCAAAUGAAAAACGUUCUACCUCCUGCCCAGAACAGUAGAAGGAAGGCACCAUUCUUCAUUUUGAUUGGGUGGACCUGAUCUAAUUUCCUUGAACAGCAGAGACCUUAUUUCAAGUGACCUAAGUCCUUAUGUAUCUCUUUUAGAAAAUCCAGUAGUUUUAUUUGUAUUCCUAAGGUCAAAGCAGUUUGGAGAAUAUUUACAGUUGAUGGAUGAUUUAUACUUUUUUCUAUGACAAAAAUAUUAGCCUUUAAAAAUCUGAGUGAAACAGAUAUGUAGAUGGAAAUGACUCAUUACUAUCAAUAGAAGCAAAGAGUAUUAGGCCACCAUGCAUAACUGUAGUCAUCCAAAUAAGGCAAACGAACAAUGCCAGAAGAAAGACCUACAAGCCUAAUGAGGAACUGUCUGAAAAGGAGAUGCACACAGCAAAUCCAACGGUGUCUACUGCCUCCAGGCUGCAGGGGGAGCUCUUCCAUCCCUAAAGUUUCCCCAUUUGCAAAAACUGUGGCCCUUCAUCUGUCCUGAUUAAAUAACAAACCUUUUUGAGAGACAUCUCUCCUUUAUUUCUACAUUUUCUGCAUAAAUCCCAAUCAAACAGUUCAGCUCUAAUGAAUACCCUCUAUUGUGUUCAGACACUCCUCUUUUUCUGACAAUCUUUGGCUGCUUUUGAGUCUUAUGUAAAAUAGAGGUCAACAGAGCACUCUUUGUUGCAUGCAGAUUUUGCUGGUCAUUGUUUAUGUUGAUAUUCAAAGACCAAAGUGUAAAUGUUUUUUUAAGAAAUUAAACUGUAAGAGUAAAUAAUUUUCUUGA